AAUUUUUUAAUGAAACCUAGUGGAGAAGGAGUCAGGAUGAAAUGCAGAGCUCUACUUGUUAUCUUCCUCUUAACAGCAAAUAAUUUUAGAGCUCUGGAUGCUCAAAAAGACAAUAGAAAACUCAAAACAGCUAUUUCGAAGCUUAAAUUAUUUUUAACAAAGCUGCGCAGCAACGCGGGAAUAGGACAGUGCAAAAAGAAUGCCGCUUCAGAAGGAGCAACUCAAGGGCAAAGCUGUGAAAAUCUUUUGACGAAUUCACCGAAUCAACCAAGCUACAAGCAAUGUGUUGCCAAAUGUCUUUUUAAUAGGCUACGACCUGAAAUCCCGAAAAAUGACCUGCCAGUUUUCGAUGCAGACUUCCGAAAAGAGGCAAUAAAUUGUAAU